rnacentral:rRNA from 1 species
AGGAUGAACGCUGGCGGCGUGCUUAACACAUGCAAGUCGAACGGUGAACACGGAGCUUGCUCUGUGGGAUCAGUGGCGAACGGGUGAGUAACACGUGAGCAACCUGCCCCUGACUCUGGGAUAAGCGCUGGAAACGGCGUCUAAUACUGGAUAUGUGACGUGACCGCAUGGUCUGCGUUUGGAAAGAUUUUUCGGUUGGGGAUGGGCUCGCGGCCUAUCAGCUUGUUGGUGAGGUAAUGGCUCACCAAGGCGUCGACGGGUAGCCGGCCUGAGAGGGUGACCGGCCACACUGGGACUGAGACACGGCCCAGACUCCUACGGGAGGCAGCAGUGGGGAAUAUUGCACAAUGGGCGGAAGCCUGAUGCAGCAACGCCGCGUGAGGGAUGACGGCCUUCGGGUUGUAAACCUCUUUUAGCAGGGAAGAAGCGAAAGUGACGGUACCUGCAGAAAAAGCGCCGGCUAACUACGUGCCAGCAGCCGCGGUAAUACGUAGGGCGCAAGCGUUAUCCGGAAUUAUUGGGCGUAAAGAGCUCGUAGGCGGUUUGUCGCGUCUGCUGUGAAAUCCCGAGGCUCAACCUCGGGCCUGCAGUGGGUACGGGCAGACUAGAGUGCGGUAGGGGAGAUUGGAAUUCCUGGUGUAGCGGUGGAAUGCGCAGAUAUCAGGAGGAACACCGAUGGCGAAGGCAGAUCUCUGGGCCGUAACUGACGCUGAGGAGCGAAAGGGUGGGGAGCAAACAGGCUUAGAUACCCUGGUAGUCCACCCCGUAAACGUUGGGAACUAGUUGUGGGGUCCAUUCCACGGAUUCCGUGACGCAGCUAACGCAUUAA